rnacentral:tRNA from 1 species
GGGCCCGUAGCUCAGCCUGGAUAGAGCGGCGGCCUUCGGAGCCGUAGGUCCCGGGUUCAAAUCCCGGCGGGCCCGCCA